UUAAGUUUAGGGUUAGGUUAGGGUUAGUAUAGGGUUAGGUUUAGGGUCAGGUUAUGGUUAGGAUUUCAGGGUUAGGUUUAGGGUUAUGUUAGGUUUAGUAUAGGGUUAGGUUUAGGGUCAGGUUAUGUUAGGAUUUAGUGGUUAGGGUUAGGGUUAGGUUUAGGGUCAGGUUAUGUUAGGAUUUAGUGGUUAGGGUUAGGGUUAGGUUUAGGGUUAUGUUAGGGUUAGUAUAGGGUUAGGUUUAGG